GUGUCCAGAGAAAACCCGGCGUCCCGGAGACAGGACGCCCCACCCUCAGGGGCUGGGCUGCACGGAAUUCUGUGACCGGAUUUUCCAGCAUCAAUGGGAGGUGGUGGGUAUAUAAAAUGCCCUGCAGCCUGAAGAGGAUGGUAGCAACGGUGCAGACAGCCUUGCUCCGUGUUCCAGCUUGGCUGAAAUGACGAAAUACAGGCAACCUUCUUCAUCCUGGAGCAGUUUCUUCGCAGUAGGUAGAAACAGCAAUCUGGCCAGAGCGUCUGUUAGUGGGAAUGAUGGAAAGGCACAGAUUCCAGAAGGCCGUGUGCCUCUAGCCACAGGUCUCAGACAAGAUGCUUCCAAAUGCCACUGAAUGUGCAGCCUCUGCCUUUGGACUUCACCAGGAGCUUGGAAAUCUUCUAAGAGGGGAGCGUCUGAGCACAUGUUCCAAAGCAAAAGUUGAGAUGCAUGCCAGAGUACAUACAUACUGAAUACAGGAACCGGCCCUUCAAAGCUCAGUGCUUCUAGGGUGGGCUGGAGCAUGACCUCCCCAAAGAUGUUCACCCCCUUAUUCCCAGGACCUGUGAAGAUGUUGCCUUACGUGACAAAAGAGAUUUUGCAGAUGUGAUUAGAUUAGGGAUUCUAAGAUCGUGGGGAGAUGAUCCUGGGUGGCCCCGGUGGGCCCAGUGUCGUCACAAGGGUCCUUAUAAAAGGGAGGCAGGAGGGUCAGAGUCAGAGAAGAUUGGCAAUGGAAGCAGAGAUCAGAGAGGGAGAUUUGAAGCUGCUACACUGCUGGCCUUGAAGAUGGAGGAUAGGGCCAUAAGCGAACAAAUGCAAGUGGCCUCUAGAAGCUGGAAGAGGCCGGGAAACACAAUCUCUCCACUAGCCUGUGGAAGGAACACAGCCCUGCUGGUGCUUGAUUUUAGCCCAUUCACACCCAGUUUAGACUUCUACCCUCCAGAAAAGGAAAAGGAUGAAUACGUGUUGUUUUAAGCCACUAAGUACAGUAGCCAUUGGAAACGAACAGAGCCUUGGCUCGUUGAUUCAUCCGAUCCUAUUUACGGAGCCUUCCGUCUGCACCAGGUGGAAUGGAAGACCCGAGGGUCAGCCACGCUCUGGAGGGACUGUGUCCCUCUGCUGAGUCCCUCUUACGGUCCAUGGGGAAGACAGUCAUGAAACAGGUCUUCCCAAUUAAGAGUGGGGAAUCCCUAAUGAGAGAAGUGUUGAGUGAUGUGGAAAAAUACUGCUAGGGGCUGAAUUAUGUACCCCCAAAUUCAUCUGUUGAAGUCUCAACUCCCCAGUACCUCAGAAUGUGACUAUAUUUGGAGACAAAGACAGAAAACAAAAUAGACAAAAACUCAUGAAGAAAUAUCCAACAUACAUAUGAGUAAAACUAUAAAGCAUUCCUGAAAGGCACAAAAUUAGUCUUGGACAAAUGGAAAUACACUCUUGGAUAAGAGGAUUCAACAUCAUAAAGAUUGCAGUUCUCCCAAAUUUGUAAGUUUAAUGCAAUUCCAGUAGAUUCCAUAAUUUUUUUCCCUGGAGCUAGACAAGAUAAUUAUAAAAUUCAUUUGAAAGAACAAAUAAGCAAGAAUAUCCAGGAAAGCCCUGAGAAAGAAGAAAGGAAGGAGGGCUAGCCCUGAUAUUAAAACUUACCAACAAGCCUCUAUAAUUAAAGCAGCUUUGCUCAUAAGCACAAAUUUUGAUUGUGCUGAAGAUGUUUUCUCACCUCUGCAAUUGGCAAAGACUCACAAAUGUGACACCAUUCUAUUGCUGAGGUUGUGAGGGAACUGUCUCAUACAUUGCUGGUGAGAAUACAAAAUGGCAAAGUCCCUGUGAGAAAAAUGCAGCGACACCCAGCAACAUGCCACAUGCAUUACCGUUGACCCAGAGAUCCCACUUCUUGGGAUGUAUCUCACGAAAACCCCGGCAAAGGCCGGGCAGGGUGGCUCACACCUGAAAUCCCAACACUUUGGGAGAUUGAGGCAGGCGGAUAGCUUGAGACCAGGAGUUGGAGACCAGCAUGGGCAACAUGGCAAUACCGUUUCUAUCAAUAAAAUAAAAAAAGAAACCCUGGCAAAAAUGUGAAAAGAUGUCUGCAGGAGACUUUCAUUGUUGAAUUAUCAUUUUUUGAGACGGAGUCUCGCUCUGUCGCCCAGGCUGGAGUGCAAUGGCACGAUCUCGGCUCACUGCCACCUCCGCCUCCCAGGUUCAAGCGAUUCUCCUGCCUCAGCCUCCUGAGCAGCUGGGAUUGCAGGUGCACGACACCAUGCCCAGUUAAUUUUUGUAUUUUUAGUAGAGAUGGGGUUUUACCAUGUAGGUCAGGCUGGUCUCAAACUCCUGAUCUCAUGAUCUGCCUGCCUGGGCCUCCCAAAGUGCUGGGAUUACAGGCAUGAGCCACCGCGCCCAGCCUGUUGAAUUAUUUUUAAUAGUAUGACUAGAAACAACCAGAAGAUGGUUGAAUAAACAAUGGUACAUCCACUAAUGUUGUGUGCAAAGGUAAAAUGAAAAGAACACUUAUACGUACCACUUUGGGGGAUAUGGGGAUGGGGUGAUGAAUGUAUUUUGCUUGUGGGUUGGAUGUGAAUUUGGAGGGGGGGUGCAGAGGACAGAUCAUAGUGGAUUGAAUGGUGGCCCUAAAGAUGUGUCUACCUGGAACUUGGGAACGUGACCUUAUUUGCAAAGAGUCUUUGCGGAGGUAAUUAAAGACCUGGAGAUGAGAUCAUCCUGGAUUAACCGGGUAGGCCCUAAAUCCAAUGGCAGAUGUUCUUGUAAUAGAGAGAAGACAGGGAGAAACGCAGAGGGAACGGUGAUGUCACGAUGGGGCCAAGACUGGAGUCAUGUUUCUUGCACAAGCCAAGGAUUGUCAGCAGCAGCAAGAGCCGGAAGAGGCAGGAAGGAUCCUCCCCUAGGGCCUCUGAAGAGAGUGUAACCCUGGUGACACCUUGAUUUAGCACUUUUGGCCUUGAGAACCGUGAAAUAAAUUUUUGUUAAGC